CACCUGCGUACCGGGAGAGUGGGGUGGAGCCACCGGGAAUUCACGCCUGAUGCCCGGGGAGGAGUCUGGCCUCUUCAGCUCCUGUGUGGUGGCCUGAUAUUCAGUCUGUGAGCUGGGAGCCUGUUGGCAGGUCCCUCUUUUUAUUUUCGCUGAGAGCUUUCUUUUACUAAAUGCCACCAUCCUUACCUUUCAAGGUGUCUGCGUGCCUAAUUUUUCCUGGUUGUUAGACAAGAACCCGGAUUUUAGUUGAACUCUGGAGCAAAAAUCCUGCAUCAUUUGUAGUUCUUUUACAGGAAGCUUUUGUUACGUGUUGUCAGCACAUUGCUGUGAUGCUCAAGUAUAGCUCUUUAAUGUGAAAACCUGGUAUUUGGGCAUGGCUUGAAGCAGGUGGGUGUCAUUGUGACUGGCUGCUACCUCCCCAUGAGUCUUCUAAAAUAAAACCUGCAAAUUCACAUCUUCCCCAUGCUUCCAGAGAAUGCAUAUUCUUCCUUUGAAAAAAGAAAACCAGCACUGUUCAUAAUAGCCAAGAUUUGGAAGCCACCUAAGUGUCCAUCAACAGAUGAAUGGAGAAACUGUGGUACAUAUACACAACGGAGUGCUAUUCAGCCAUAAAAAAGAAUGAUACUCUGUCAUCUGCAACAACAUGAAUGGAACUGGAGAUCAUUAUGUUGUUAAAUAAGCCAGACACAGAAAGACAAACAUCACAUAUUUUCACUUAUUUUGGGGAUAUAAAAGUCAAAACAAACUCAUGGAGAUAGAGAACAGAUAGACGGUUACCAGAGGCUAGGAGGAGGAGUGGUGGGGGGCAGUUAGUGAUGGUUAAUUGGUACAAAAAAAUGGUUAGAAAUAAUAAAUAAGACCUAGUAUUAGAUAGGACAACAGGAGGACUAUAGUCAAAAAUAAUUUAUUUGUACAUUUCAAAGUAACUAAAAGAGUGUAAUUGUAUUAUUUGUAGCACAUAGGAUAAAUGCUUGAGGUGACGGAUACCCCAUUUACCCUGAUGUGAUUAUUACACAUCGUAUGCCUGUACCAAAAGAUCUCAUGUACCUCAUAAAUACAUACACCUACUAUAUACCCACACAAAUUAAAAAUUAAAAAAAUUUAAAGAAAUUACAGUUUGUUGGUUUUGAAUAUUUGACCAAAUUUUUUACUAAGCACAGAUAGAUUGAAUAUAAUUUUAUUGUCCUUUUGACAUUAUGAUAAUGAAGGUAUCUACACAGAAGUCUGAGAUGAGAAAAAAAUGAUAUAAUAUCCACCUACUACAUAGUGGGUAGUUUAUAUACUAAAGUUAUUGUUAUGAGAAAGAAUGGCUUAGGAAUAUUAUUUAAAAUUAAUUAAGGGGUGUUAAAAAUAAAAUACCAAGUGUAAAAAUGACAAAGGCAAGAAGAAACAGUAUAUAAUGUGAGUAAAUCUUAAUCUUUCCAAGAGAGGAGACAGUACAUAAUGUCUAAAAUUGUUAAACCAUGAAAUAGAAAUAUAGUUAUUUUAUUCAUAAUUAAGGAGAUAACUACUAUAGCACGAAAUCGUGCCAAAAAUGGUUGCCUCUGGGAAAUGUGAUUAUAGAUAUUAUAAUAUUUUGGACUGUAAAAAUCUGCUUUUAAGACUGAGGAAAUACAAAUAGGACAAUAUUUAUUUGAAAUUUGUAUCCUCAGGGAGUGUAAAGAAAUUAAUGUAUCCACAAAAUAAUAAUAGCUGCUAUUUGAAAACAUAGUUUUCUUGAAAGUUAAAAUAGUAAUAGUCUUCUAAAAAUUUUGUUAGUUUUGGUUUUCUCUUUAAUCUGAGUUAUGUAGAAAAGUGCUUAUUUCAAAUUAGGUAGGCUUGUUUUAUUCCUUUUUCUGUCUUUUUUCUAUCAACUAGUGUUUUAUUGUGUUCAGAAAAUGCCAUGCAUUAAAAGACUACUUUUGAGAAUUUCUAGAGAUUUUCUUUGUUACUAAAGAGAUUUUUGUAAUUGUUACAUGGGAUUUUAAAAAGAAUGUAAAUUAUCCUUUUUGUCAAGUAUAAUGAUUUCUGAAACCUAGCUGUGUCAGAAUACUGUAUAAUACUGUAAUAGUAUGUUGUUUUUGGCUAUGUGUACUUAUUUCUUAGAGUGGUAUGUUAAAGCCUCGACCUUGUGACUUUGUUUAUUUCUCUCUCUACAUCUAAACAUUUCCAAGACAUGUUAUUUGCAAUACCAAGACCAUAACUAUUAUGUAUUUAAUCAAAAUAAAAUAUUUCGGCUCUCUAUAAUUCACCUUGAACUUUAUUUUGUUAAAUAUAAAUGUUGUUGAUUAUACAACAUUUCAUUAUCAAUCCCUAGACACAUUUCUAAUCCACUAUAAUUGUUUUAAAAUAAAAGGAGAAGGGAAGGUUGUA
rnacentral:lncRNA from 10 species